UCAAGAAACUUCCACAAUGGGCGAAAGCCUGAUGGAGCGACGUCGCGUGAUGGACGAAGUGCUUCGGCACGUAAACAUCUUUUAUGUGGGAUGAAAUUAUUGACAGUACCACAUGAAUAAGGGGCUCCUAACUCUGUGCCAGCAGGAGCGGUAAUACAGAGGCCCCAAGCGUUAUCCGGAAUCACUGGGCGUAAAGGGUGUCGAGGCGGUUGUAUUAGUCGUUCGUAAAAUCUACGAGCUUAACUUGUAGGCGGCGAACGAAACGGUACGACUUGAGGUUUGGAGAGGUGCGUGGAACUCACGGUGUAGGGGUGAAAUCCGUUGAUAUCGUGGGGAACACCAAAGGCGAAGGCAGCGCACUGGCCAAAAUCUGACGCUCACACACGAAAGCUAGGGUAGCGAAGAGGAUUAGAUACCCCCGUAGUCCUGAGCGGGCUGGCAAGGCGCAU
rnacentral:rRNA from 1 species